AACGAACGCUGGCGGCAUGCCUAACACAUGCAAGUCGAACGAGACCUUCGGGUCUAGUUGCGCACGGGUGCGUAACGCGUGGGAACCUGCCCUUAGGUUCGGAAUAACUCCCCGAAAGGGGUGCCAAUACCGGAUAAUGUCUUCGGACCAAAGAUUUAUCGCCUUUGGAUGGGCUCGCGUUGGAUUAGCUAGUUGGUAGGGUAAAAGCCUACCAAGGCGACGAUCCAUAGCUGGUCUGAGAGGAUGAUCAGCCACACUGGGACUGAGACACGGCCCAGACUCCUACGGGAGGCAGCAGUGGGGAAUAUUGGACAAUGGGCGAAAGCCUGAUCCAGCAAUGCCGCGUGAGUGAUGAAGGCCUUAGGGUUGUAAAGCUCUUUUGCCCGGGAUGAUAAUGACAGUACCGGGAGAAUAAGCGCCGGCUAACUCCGUG
rnacentral:rRNA from 1 species